rnacentral:rRNA from 1 species
ACGGAGGAUCCGAGCGUUAUCCGGAUUUAUUGGGUUUAAAGGGUGCGUAGGCGGACCAAUUAGUCAGUGGUGAAAGUUUGCAGCUCAACUGUAAAAUUGCCAUUGAAACUGUUGGUCUUGAGUGUAAAUGAGGUAGGCGGAAUGUGUUGUGUAGCGGUGAAAUGCUUAGAUAUAACACAGAACACCAAUUGCGAAGGCAGCUUACUGGGAUACAACUGACGCUGAGGCACGAAAGCGUGGGGAUCAAACAGGAUUAGAUACCCUGGUAGUCCACGCAGUAAACGAUGAAUACUAGCUGUAUGCGAUAUACUGUAUGUGGCAAAGCGAAAGCGUUAAGUAUUCCACCUGGGGAGUACGUUCGCAAGAAUG